rnacentral:misc_RNA from 1 species
CACGGCUCUCUUUUAGCGCUAUUUAAUUUUGGAGCACUUGUCUUGUCCCCUAAGUUAACAGGAUUAAGCAAAGAGAAAUGGCAGACUCAUCAUCGGCGGCCAAGUCUGAUGCCGAGACCGAAGAAUUGCUGGAUCGAAUGCUGACCCGACUGGCUUUAUGUGACGAUUCCAAACUCCAAGCGUUACUCUCCAAGCUACUUCCUCUCACUCUCUCCUCUCUCUCCUCUCAGUCUACUGCUGUUCGCAACAAGGUUCUUGAAAUUUUGAGUCAUGUGAACAAGAGAGUGAAACACCAGUCUGAGAUUGGCUUGCCAUUGCUGGAGUUAUGGAAAUUGUAUACAGACUCUAAUGCUACUCCAAUGGUUAAGAACUUUUGCAUUGUGUAUAUUGAGAUGGCAUUUGAACGCACAGAUAUAAAGGAAAAAGAAAAUAUGGCACCUAUGCUUUUAUCUAACAUUUGUAAACUUCCUCAUCAACAUCAAGAGAUUAUCCUGAGAAUUGCUACUAAGGUGUUUGGUGAAUGUCAUGCCAGUCAGAUUGACGAAGAGAUUGCCAAAAAAUAUAGAUUAGCAAAUGAUUCUCAGGAUAGAGAAUUGUUCAUUGAAUUCUGCCUUCAUUUGAUGUUGUUUCAGCAGCCAUCUCAAGGUGGAGGAUGUCCACCUGGACUUUCAAUAGCUCAAAGUGAUCGUGUUACAGGAAAGCAUCCUUUGAAAAGUGAUGUGCUUUUGAUGAGAAAGUUGGGGAUUUUGAAUGUCAUUGAAGCUAUGGAGCUGGAUCCAGAAGUUGUUUAUCCCAUAUAUCUGACUGCUAGUGCAGAUUGUCAAGAGCCUGUUAUUAAGAAGGGGGAGGAGCUUUUGAAGAAGAAGGCAUCCACUGCUAAUUUGGAUGAUCCGAAAUUGAUGAAGAAAUUGUUUUUACUAUUUAAUGGUACGACUGGAGCUGAAAAUGUUGCACCAGAAUCUAGAGUCACUCCUGGAAGUAUUGCUUUGAAAGCAAAGCUGAUGUCUAUAUUUUGCCAUUCUAUUACAGCCGCAAACAGUUUCCCUGCAACUCUGCAAUGUUUAUUUGGCUGCAUAUUUGGGAGUGGCACCACCUCAAGGAUGAGGCAGUUGGGAAUGGAAUUCACUGUUUGGGUGUUUAAACAUGCACAAAUCAAUCAGCUAAAGCUCAUGGGCCCUGUUAUACUGAAUGGUAUUCUGAAGUUACUUGAUAGUUUUUCAAAUUCAGAAUCAGAUGUUAUUGCUAGGGACACCAAAACCUUUUCUUUUCAAGCUAUUGGAUUGCUCGCACAGCGCCUGCCCAAUCUAUUUAGGGACAAGAUUGACAUGGCUGUUCGUCUUUUUGAUGCAUUGAAAGUGGAGGCCCAAUCGCUUCGUUUCAUUAUCCAAGAAGCAACCAGUUCUCUUGCUGUUGCAUACAAGGGAGCUCCAGCUACUGUUUUGAUGGAUUUGGAGGCCCUUCUGUUGAAUAAUUCUCAAGUGGAACAAAAUGAAGUACGUUUCUGUGCUGUGAGAUGGGCAACAUCUUUAUUUGAUUUGCAACAUUGCCCAAGCCGAUUUAUUUGUAUGCUUGCAGCAGCAGAUUCUAGGUUGGAUAUAAGGGAAAUGGCACUCGAAGGCUUGUUUCCUGUCAAAGACAAAGGCCGAAGUACCAAUCAAAAUCUUGAUCUUAAGUACCCAAAACUUGGAAACAUGUUGGAUUACAUUCUUAAACAGCAACCAAAGUUGUUAGAUUCAACUGAAAUAAGGGAGCAAAAGCUUAUUUUUCCAUCAAAAGUGUAUGUGGCUAUGAUUAAAUUUUUGUUGAAGUGUUUUGAGUCUGAGUUAGAGCAAAGUAAUUCCUUAGAGAGAUCAUCAGAAUUUCUCUCUUCAGUGGAAACAAUGUGUUUACUUCUAGAACAUGCUAUGGCAUAUGAAGGCACCGUGGAAUUGCAUUCCACUUCUUCAAAGGCAUUAAUUACAAUCGCAUCUUAUCUUCCAGAGAUGAUGGCAUCACAUUAUGGAUCUAGAAUUUCAUGGCUAAAGCAAUUAUUGAGUCAUGUAGACUUAGAUACACGUGAAUCUUCAGCACGCCUACUUGGCAUAGCUUGCUCUGCUCUUCCUAGUCCUGCAUCAUCAGAUCUUAUAUGUGAAACGCUUUCCUCAGUUAGCGUAACAAACAAUUUAAGGUUUGAAGCAAAACAUGGAGCGUUGUGUGCUGUAGGAUACAUCACUGCAGACUGUAUGUCUAGAAUACCUGCUAUCCCAGAUACAUUGUUUCAGAAUAUCCUUAGAUGCCUGACUGAUGUUGCUAAGUCUGAGACUGCAAUUUUGGCCUCUGUUGCAAUGGAAGCUUUAGGUCAUAUUGGGCUACGUGUACCAUUGCCUCCGCUUUGUGAUAGUUCAGGUUCAGUGGAGAUUCUGUCGCUCUUACAUGAAAAGUUGAGCAAACUACUCUCUGGCGAUGACAUUAAAGCAAUUCAGAAAAUUGUUAUCUCCCUUGGACAUAUAUGUGUAAAGGAAACAUCAUCUUCACACUUGAAUAUUGCUCUUGAUUUGAUUUUUAGUCUGUGUCGGUCAAAGGUGUGGAAACUAAAUCUUCCUUUGUUUUAUGAUCCAAUCUGCUUGUUUUGCUUACUAGACUUCUUAUAACACUUAAAAUGAAUCUCAUAUUCAUUUGAUUUAUGAGGUACAUACAGUUGGAAACAUGUCUAAUCCCUGUGGUUUUGGAGUUGUACAGGUUGACGAUAUCCUUUUUGCUGCUGGGGAAGCUCUGUCGUUUUUGUGGGGUGGUGUUCCUGUGACAUCGGAUUUUAUUCUCAAAACUAACUAUUCUUCACUUUCCAUGAUGUCAAACUUUCUUUUGGGAGAUGUGAACUUAUCUUUGUCAAAUUGCAGCUUUAAUGGGAAAAGUGAAGCUAAUGAAGACUUUCAUGUGACAGUUAGAGAUGCAAUUACAAGAAAACUUUUUGAUGUUCUUUUAUACAGUAGCAGAAAAGAGGAGCGCUGUGCUGGAACUGUUUGGUUAUUAUCACUGGCAAUGUAUUGCGGCCAUCACCCAACCAUCCAACAAAUGCUUCCAGAAAUUCAGGGUUUAGUCAAGAAAAGUCAUGUCUUUGUCAAUUGAUGGGCUUGAUGCAGUCUGAAUAGUGAGUAUGAGUCAUGGACUGUAUAUUUUUAUAACCUUGUUUAGUUUGAAGUUGUGAUCACUAUGGGUAACUUGCCAGUGCUUUUUUUGACCAUGGGUAAUAAGUUUUGCAAGACUAUGAUUUGACUAUCUAUGAUGUAUGUCAACAAGUGUUGGGUGGUGAAGAAAAUGUGCACAAGAUUAGCAUGGCAGAAUUGAAGAUGCUAAAGGGAGACUGAGAUAGUUCAAACAUUUGCAUCGUAGACUAGCAGAUAUACCAGUACAGAACGUUGGGCAUAUUGAAGUAAAGGAAGGGGAAAAGAAACAACAGUGCAGAGGAUGCAUUUUCACAUCUACUAGGUGAACAGAAUGAACUUACACAAGAACUUGCAUCCCAGGGCAUGAGUAUUGUCUAUGAACUUGGGGAUGAAUCAAUGAAGAAAAGCUUAGUAGAUGCACUUGUAACCACUUUAACUGGUUCAGGGAAAAGGAAAAGAGCUAUCAAGCUAGUUGAAGACUCUGAGGUGUUUCAAGAGGGGGCCAUUGGUGAAAGUCACAGUGGAGGGAAGCUUAGCACAUACAAGGAGCUCUGCAAUCUAGCUAAUGAGAUGGGUCAGCCAGACUUAAUUUAUAAGUUUAUGGAUUUGGCUAAUCAUCAAGCUUCUUUGAAUUCCAAGAGAGGUGCUGCUUUUGGGUUUUCAAAGAUAGCCAAGCAAGCUGGGGAUGCCCUCCAACCUCACUUACGGUUAUUGAUUCCGCGACUAGUUAGGUAUCAAUAUGAUCCAGAUAAAAAUGUACAGGAUGCAAUGGCACACAUAUGGAAGUCGCUAGUGGCAGACCCUAAGAACACUAUUGAUCAACACUUGGACAUUAUCAUCGAUGAUUUGACUAUACAAUGUGGAUCUAGGCUUUGGCGAUCACGUGAGGCUUCUUGUCUUGCGCUUGCCGAUAUUAUCCAAGGACGAAAAUUUGAACAGGUUGGGAAGCAUUUGAAGAAAAUAUGGACAGCAGCAUUCCGUGCCAUGGAUGACAUAAAGGAAACUGUUCGAAAUGCUGGUGACAGAUUAUGCCGUGCUGUAUCUUCAUUAACAAUAAGGUUAUGUGAUGUCUCACUUACUGACAUAUCAGACACCAGAAAAGCAAUGGAAAUUUCUCUGCCGUUGUUGCUUAUGGAAGGCAUAUUAAGUAAAGUUGACAGUAUUCGUAAGGCUUCGAUUGGAGUUGUUAUGAAGCUUGCAAAGGUUUGAUAUGUUUUGCAACAAAAUCUAAGUUUGGUUAGAAAUAAUUUCAUUUUUUGUUUGCUUUGGACUAGCUCGAAGUUGCUCCAUGAAACACCGAUUCUGCUUAUACAUGAAAGUUACCUUUGAAGCUCUAUGUAGAAACAAUAUGCCAUAAAAUAUGUCUAGUUUCAUGAGAUAUUCAUGGCUAAAUUUUAGUGUGCAUAUAUCCAUUUGUAUUCCACAUGUUCAAGCCUUAAGGUGUGAACAACACAAAGUAAAGGAUGUCAAAUUAAAAGAAAAAAGAAUGUUUUAAUCAUGAGAAGUGGUUGAAUGGGUAGGAGUUCAGGUAGUACAUGUGGGAUAAGCAGCAGUUUUGAUGAUCCCAAAUUCCCAAUUAGUUUGUAUAUUCUGAACAAGGAUGCUAUGUGGUGAUGAACCUGAGGGAGAAAAAAUAAAGAGAAAGUUAUUGAGCGCUAUUUAUCUUUAUAUUUGUGCAAGUCGUAUUAAUUGUGCAUUCCCUUUAUCAAAAGUCUCUAUAAUAACUUCAUACACUAGAUCUGCGGAUCCACAUGAAUUUUAAAACCAAAUGGUUUAGUUGCAAACUACUUAUGGCAGAACAGCAAAACCUUCCCAGUUUUUUUAAGAGAAAAAUCAAGUUCAAGUAAAAAAAAAGAUCUCUGCUAUUUAUUUAAGAUUUGAGGUUUUGGUUUAACUAGUUGUACAAAUUUUCCACUUUUUCUAAUUAUUAGCAAGUUUUUAACUCUAUUGGUUCAUAUUACUGUGUUACUGUCAUUUUUUGUGAAUAUAAUGUACAGGGUGCAGGAAUUGCACUUCGUCCACAUUUAUCAGAUUUAGUUUGUUGCAUGCUUGAAAGUUUAUCAAGUCUUGAAGACCAAGGGCUCAAUUACGUUGAGUUGCAUGCUUCAAACAUUGGGAUACAGGCAGAGAAGCUCGAUAAUUUGCGGAUUUCAAUUGCAAAAGGCUCCCCAAUGUGGGAAACUCUUGAUCUAUGCAUAAAUGUUGUGAACACUGAAACGCUAGAUCUAUUGGUUCCUCGUCUUGCUCAUUUGGUUCGAUCAGGGGUUGGCCUCAACACUAGGGUUGGCGUUGCCAACUUUAUUAGCUUAUUGGUUCAGAGAGUUGGCACAGAUAUAAAACCAUUUGCAAGUAUGCUAUUAAGGCUGUUGUUUCCAGUUGUGACGGAGGAGAAGAGUACUGUCGCAAAACGUGCUUUUGCAAGCUCUUGUGCCAUGGUUUUGAAGCAUGCAAGUCCCUCGCACGCUCAAAAGUUAAUUGAAGAAACUACAGCUUUGCAUAUUGGGGAAGGGAAUGUGCAAAUUUCAUGUGCAAUCCUUUUGAAAAGCUAUUCAUCAGUGGCAUCUGAUGUUGUGAGCGGAUAUCAUGCAGUGAUUUUUCCAGUUAUAUUUAUUUCUAGAUUUGAUCAUGACAAGUAUGUUUCUGGGCUAUUUGAGGAGUUGUGGGAAGACAGCAUGAGUGGUGAAAGGAUCACUGUUCAGUUGUAUCUGGGAGAAAUUGUUUCUUUAAUUUGUGAGGGCUUUGCGUCAUCAUCUUGGGCAAGGAAAAGAAAGUCAGCCCAGGCAAUUUGUAAGCUUAGUGAAGUCUUGGGUGAAUCACUGUCUUCUUAUUGCCAUGUUCUGCUUGAAGCUCUUAUGAAGGAAAUUCCUGGUCGACUAUGGGAGGGAAAGGAUACUCUUUUAGAUGCAAUAGGUGCACUUUCUACAUCUUGCCAUAAAGCUAUCGCCUCCGAAAAUCCUGCCACCCCUAAGGCAGUUUUGGAUAUAGUAUAUUCUGCAUGCACAAAGAAGGUGAAGAAAUACCGUGAAGCAGGUUUCUCUUCUCUUGACCAGGUCAUAAAAGCAUUUGGUGAUCCAGAUUUCUUUAAUUCCAUUUUUCCACAAUUAUUUGGGAUGUGCAGCUCAACUGUUGCCAAUAUAUCUGGCCCAAUAGCUAUGGCAAGUGAUGCAGUUAAGA